UACGUAGGGUGCAAGCGUUAAUCGGAAUUACUAGGCGUAAAGCGUGCGCAGGCGGUUAUGCAAGACAGAUGUGAAAUCCCCGGGCUUAACCUGGGAACUGCAUUUGUGACUGCAUAGCUAGAGUACGGUAGAGGGGGAUGGAAUUCCGCGUGUAGCAGUGAAAUGCGUAGAUAUGCGGAGGAACACCGAUGGCGAAGGCAAUCCCCUGGGCCUGCACUGACGCUCAUGCACGAAAGCGUGGGGAGCAAACAGG
rnacentral:rRNA from 1 species